rnacentral:rRNA from 1 species
AACUCAUCGAAAGGUGGGCUAAUACCGAAUAACACUGCAAGACCCUGGUUGAGCAGUCAAAGAGAGCCUCUGCUUGCAAGCCCUCGCUGAAGGACGAGUCCGCGUACCAUUAGCUGGUUGGUAGGGUAAUGGCCUACCAAGGCGACGAUGGUUAGCUGGUCUGAGAGGAUGAUCAGCCACACUGGAACUGAGACACGGUCCAGACUCCUACGGGAGGCAGCAGUGAGGAAUCUUGCGCAAUGGGGGAAACCCUGACGCAGCAACGCCGCGUGAGUGAGGAAGGCCUUCGGGUCGUAAAGCUCUGUCAGUUGGAAAGAAAUGCUUGAGAGUUAAUACCUUUCAAGCUUGACGGUACCAACAGAGGAAGCACCGGCUAACUCCGUGCCAGCAGCCGCGGUAAUACGGGGGGUGCAAGCGUUGUUCGGAAUUAUUGGGCGUAAAGAGCGUGUAGGCGGCCGGAUAUGUCAGAUGUGAAAUCCCUGGGCUUAACCCAGGAAGUGCAUUUGAAACUGUCCGGCUAGAGUAGGGGAGAGGGAAGUGGAAUUCCUGGUGUAGAGGUGAAAUUCGUAGAUAUCAGGAGGAACACCGGUGGCGAAGGCGACUUCCUGGCCCUAUACUGACGCUGAGACGCGAGAGCGUGGGUAGCAAACAGGAUUAGAUACCCUGGUAGUCCACGCCGUAAACGAUG